GCCGGGUGUGGUGGCGCACACCUGUAAUCCCAGCUACUCGAGAGGCUGAGACAGGAGAAUCGCUUGAACCUAGGAGGCAGAGGUUGCAGUGAGCUGAGGUUGCACCAGUGUACUGUGGCCUGGGUGACAGAGCGAGACUCUGUCUCAA
rfam:Chlorocebus sabaeus isolate 1994-021 chromosome X, whole genome shotgun sequence.